AACGUAGGACGCAAGCGUUAUCCGGAGUUACUGGGCGUAAAGGGCGUGUAGGCGGACCUAUAAGUCUAUUCUGAAAGCUCCUGGCUAAACUGGGAGAAGGCGAAUGGAGACUGUAGAUCUAGAGUGAGGAAGAGGAAAGUGGAAUUCCGCGUGUAGUGGUGAAAUGCGUAGAGAUGUGGAGGAACACCAGUGGCGGAAGGCGACUUUCUGGACCGUAACUGAC
rnacentral:rRNA from 1 species